rnacentral:lncRNA from 1 species
UCACCUAUAUCCUUAGUGAUGGACAAUGAGUCUUCCAUGCUUAUUAUAGGGUUAACCCCUCACUAGUAUGUUGAAGCUAUCCUUACAUGGUGGAUUUGUGGUUUUUAGGUUGAGUUUUCUCCCUUGGAUAACAAAAGACCUUAAGGCUUUUGGACCAAUCAAUUCACCAACUUGUUUCGAGAUUUUUACCCCGAACUACGAGGUUUUGAUCCUAAUCUUUUUU